GGGUUGUGAGGUUAAGCGACUAAGCGUACACGGUGGAUGCCCUGGCAGUCAGAGGCGAUGAAGGACGUGCUAAUCUGCGAUAAGCGUCGGUGAGGUGAUAUGAACCGUUAUAACCGGCGAUUUCCGAAUGGGGAAACCCAGUGUGUUUCGACACACUAUCAUUAACUGAAUCCAUAGGUUAAUGAGGCGAACCGGGGGAACUGAAACAUCUAAGUACCCCGAGGAAAAGAAAUCAACCGAGAUUCCCCCAGUAGCGGCGAGCGAACGGGGAGGAGCCCAGAGCCUGAAUCAGUGUGUGUGUUAGUGGAAGCGUCUGGAAAGGCGCGCGAUACAGGGUGACAGCCCCGUACACAAAAAUGCACAUAUUGUGAGCUCGAUGAGUAGGGCGGGACACGUGGUAUCCUGUCUGAAUAUGGGGGGACCAUCCUCCAAGGCUAAAUACUCCUGACUGACCGAUAGUGAACCAGUACCGUGAGGGAAAGGCGAAAAGAACCCCGGCGAGGGGAGUGAAAAAGAACCUGAAACCGUGUACGUACAAGCAGUGGGAGCCUCUUAAUGGGGUGACUGCGUACCUUUUGUAUAAUGGGUCAGCGACUUAUAUUCUGUAGCAAGGUUAACCGAAUAGGGGAGCCGAAGGGAAACCGAGUCUUAACUGGGCGUUAAGUUGCAGGGUAUAGACCCGAAACCCGGUGAUCUAGCCAUGGGCAGGUUGAAGGUUGGGUAACACUAACUGGAGGACCGAACCGACUAAUGUUGAAAAAUUAGCGGAUGACUUGUGGCUGGGGGUGAAAGGCCAAUCAAACCGGGAGAUAGCUGGUUCUCCCCGAAAGCUAUUUAGGUAGCGCCUCGUGAAUUCAUCUCCGGGGGUAGAGCACUGUUUCGGCAAGGGGGUCAUCCCGACUUACCAACCCGAUGCAAACUGCGAAUACCGGAG
rnacentral:rRNA from 1 species